GACGGGGGCCCGCACAAGCGGAGGAACAUGUGGUUUAAUUCGAUGAUACGCGAGGAACCUUACCCGGGCUUGAACUGCAGGAGAACGAUUCAGAGAUGAUGAGGUCCUUCGGGACUCCUGUGGAGGUGCUGCAUGGUUGUCGUCAGCUCGUGCCGUGAGGUGUCGGCUUAAGUGCCAUAACGAGCGCAACCCCUUUCGUUAGUUGCCAUCAGGUGAUGCUGGGCACUCUGGCGAUACUGCCACCGUAAGGUGUGAGGAAGGUGGGGAUGACGUCAAAUCAGCACGGCCCUUACGUCCGGGGCUACACACGUGUUACAAUGGGUGGUACAGAGAGCUGGUCGUCUGCAAAUGCGAUCAAAUCCUAAAAGCCAUCCUCAGUUCGGAUUGGGGUCUGCAACCCGACCCCAUGAAGCUGGAUUCGCUAGUAAUCGCGCAUCAGCCAUGGCGCGGUGAAUACGUUCCCGGGCCUUGUACACACCGCCCGUCAAGCCAUGAAAGCCGGGGGCGCUUGAAGUCCGUGACCGCAAGGAUCGGCCUAGAGCGAAACUGGUAAUUGGGGCUAAGUCGUAACAAGGUAG
rnacentral:rRNA from 1 species